rnacentral:rRNA from 1 species
AACGAACGCUGGCGGCAUGCCUAACACAUGCAAGUCGAACGAGACCUUCGGGUCUAGUGGCGCACGGGUGCGUAACGCGUGGGAACCUGCCCUUAGGUUCGGAAUAACUCCCCGAAAGGGGUGCUAAUACCGGAUAAUGUCUUCGGACCAAAGAUUUAUCGCCUUUGGAUGGGCCCGCGUUGGAUUAGCUAGUUGGUAGGGUAAAAGCCUACCAAGGCGACGAUCCAUAGCUGGUCUGAGAGGAUGAUCAGCCACACUGGGACUGAGACACGGCCCAGAACCCUAGGGAGGCCGGGAGGGGGGAAAAUGGGAAAUUGGGCGAAAACCUAACCCGACAUCGCCGGGUGAGGGAUGAAGGCCUUAGGGUUGUAAACCUCUUUUCCCCGGGAUGUUAAUGGAAGUACCGGGAGAAAAAGCUCCGGCUAACUCCGG